AUACGGAGGAUGCGAGCGUUAUCCGGAUUUAUUGGGUUUAAAGGGAGCGUAGGUGGGAUAUUAAGUCAGCUGUGAAAGUUUGGGGCUCAACCUUAAAAUUGCAGUUGAUACUGGCUGUCUUGAGUACAGUAGAGGAGGGCGGAAUUCGUGGUGUAGCGGUUAAAUGCUUAGAUAUCACGAAGAACUCCGAUUGCGAAGGCAGCUCACUGGACUGCAACUGACACUGAUGCUCGAAAGUGUGGGUAUCAAACAGGAUUAGAUACCCUGGUAGUCCACACAGUAAACGAUGAAUACUCGCUGUUUGCGAUAUACAGUAAGCGGCCAAGCGAAAGCAUUAAGUAUUCCACCUGGGGAGUACGCCGGCAACGGUGAAACUCAAAGGAAUUGGCGGGG
rnacentral:rRNA from 1 species